CCUACGGGAGGCAGCAGUAGGGAAUCUUCCACAAUGGGCGCAAGCCUGAUGGAGCAACACCGCGUGAGUGAAGCAGGGUUUCGGCUCGUAAAGCUCUGUUGUUGGAGAAGAACGUGUGUGAGAGUAACUGUUCACGCAGUGACGGUAUCCAACCAGAAAGUCACGGCUAACUACGUGCCAGCAGCCGCGGUAAUACGUAGGUGGCAAGCGUUAUCCGGAGUUAUUGGGCGUAAAGCGAGCGCAGGCGGUUGCUUAGGUCUGAUGUGAAAGCCUUCGGCUUAACCGAAGAAGUGCAUCGGAAACCGGGCAACUUGAGUGCAGAAGAGGACAGUGGAACUCCAUGUGUAGCGGUGGAAUGCGUAGAUAUAUGGAAGAACACCAGUGGCGAAGGCGGCUGUCUGGUCUGCAACUGACGCUGAGGCUCGAAAGCAUGGGUAGCGAACAGGAUUAGAUACCCGAGUAGUC
rnacentral:rRNA from 1 species